UUUGGAUGAUCUUCAAAAACUCUGAAGUGUGAUCUGUCAACGCCCUGUUGAGGCUUUCUGUCCUGACAUUAAAAGUUUUCAUCUAUUUAUUUUUCAUCUAUUAAAUGUUGUUGCUGGAGAUGAGAUGUUUGUAUUACAAUGUCCAUCAUAUUUACAAGUGAAGAACAAUAUAAUAAGCAAGAAAAACAGGCUAUAAUAAACGCAGAUUAUUGAGAGGAUGUUGAUUCUAUGGGGAAGGCAUGGAGAAUCAUUAUUUCAGAUAGAAAUCAAGACACAUCAUGCACAAACAUGGUCAUUCACAAGCAAACGAUCUUUGGAUGCUCCUUAAAUAUUCUGAUCAGGCAGUAGCAGAUUAUCUGAAGCAUAACUGCUCUGAAUCCAGUGGUCAGAGGCGACUUCUCCAAACAGCACACAGAAGGAUGUGAAGAGAAGGUCAGGUAAACUUCACACACCGUAAAGUGAAGGGAAAGAAGACUGUAGAAAGAACUGGACUCAUAUGAACUGCACAUGUGGAUAUGCAGCAAUGAACAUAUUAUUGUUUAUCCGUACACACUCUUAAAAAUAAAGGCUCCAUAAGGGUGUUUUUACAGUGAUGCCGAACCAUUUUUGGUUCCCUAAAGAGCCUUUCAGUGAGCAGUUCUGAAAUGAACCAUUUUGAAGAAUAUUUAAAAAAUCGAAAGAAACCUUUUCCACUACAAAGCACAUUUUCUGUAUUUAAAAGGUUCCAUGGAUGUUCCUUUAUUUUAAGAGUGCAAUUUAUGGAGAGAUGAUUCAGAAAGUUUCUCCAAACAGAUGAAUUUUCAUGUCAGGCAUUCUUAUUUUUGCCAUGAAUUCAAAGUUUAAUUUAAGGUUCAUUGUUGAGAUAUUACUUAAGGAUAUUACAUGAUUGGUCCUAUGAAAAUGACCUAAACAGCUAAUAGGAAUAACAAGUAACUCCACUGAAAGUUUUUGAAAAUGUUUUGAGGUGAAUGCCAACGGCAUGACCAAAUAUUUAGGUGAAAUUAAAGCUUGCCUAUCAGCAUAGUAGUUUGAAAACACAAAAUAAAUAUGCUGAAACCAAAUGUAGAACAUGACUAACUUGAUUGAGUCCAGAAGGAUGUCGUUCAAAAAUCAAAGAGUUCAUUUAAUUUGGGAAGUGG